CGUCUGAACCCUUCGGGGGGACGACGGUGGAAUGAGCGGCGGACGGGUGAGUAACACGUAAAGAACCUGCCCAUAGGUCUGGGAUAACCACGAGAAAUCGGGGCUAAUACCGGAUGUGUCAUCGGACCGCAUGGUCCGCUGAUGAAAGGCGCUCCGGCGUCGCCCAUGGAUGGCUUUGCGGUGCAUUAGCUAGUUGGUGGGGUAACGGCCCACCAAGGCGACGAUGCAUAGCCGACCUGAGAGGGUGAUCGGCCACACUGGGACUGAGACACGGCCCAGACUCCUACGGGAGGCAGCAGUAGGGAAUCUUCCACAAUGGACGAAAGUCUGAUGGAGCAACGCCGCGUGAACGAUGAAGGCUUUCGGGUCGUAAAGUUCUGUUGUAAGGGAAGAACAAGUGCCGCAGGCAAUGGCGGCACCUUGACGGUACCUUGCGAGAAAGCCACGGCUAACUACGUGCCAGCAGCCGCGGUAAUACGUAGGUGGCAAGCGUUGUCCGGAAUUAUUGGGCGUAAAGCGCGCGCAGGCGGCCUCUUAAGUCUGAUGUGAAAGCCCCCGGCUCAACCGGGGAGGGCCAUUGGAAACUGGGAGGCUUGAGUAUAGGAGAGAAGAGUGGAAUUCCACGUGUAGCGGUGAAAUGCGUAGAGAUGUGGAGGAACAC
rnacentral:rRNA from 1 species